rnacentral:rRNA from 1 species
GACGAACCAAGCGAACGUUGUUCGGAAUCACUGGGCUUAAAGGGCGCGUAGGCGGGCUGUCAAGUCUGGGGUGAAAUCCCGCGGCUCAACCGUGGAACUGCCUCAGAUACUGACGGCCUCGAGGGAGAUAGGGGCGAGCGGAACUAAUGGUGGAGCGGUGAAAUGCGUUGAUAUCAUUAGGAACUCCGGUGGCGAAGGCGGCUCGCUGGAUCUUUUCUGACGCUGAGGCGCGAAAGCUAGGGGAGCAAACGG